GAUGAACGCUGGCGGCGUGCCUAAUACAUGCAAGUCGAGCGAACAGACGAGGAGCUUGCUCCUCUGACGUUGGCGGCGGACGGGUGAGUAACACGUGGAUAACCUACCUAUAAGACUGGGAUAACUUCGGGAAACCGGAGCUAAUACCGGAUAAUAUAUUGAACCGCAUGGUUCAAUAGUGAAAGACGGUUUUGCUGUCCCUUAUAGAUGGAUCCGCGCCGGAUUAGCUAGUUGGUAAGGUAACGGCUUACCAAGGCGACGAUGCGUAGCCGACCUGAGAGGGUGAUCGGCCACACUGGAACUGAGACACGGUCCAGACUCCUACGGGAGGCAGCAGUAGGGAAUCUUCCGCAAUGGGCGAAAGCCUGACGGAGCAACGCCGCGUGAGUGAUGAAGGUCUUCGGAUCGUAAAACUCUUUUAGUAGGGAAGAACAAAUGUGUAAGUAACUAUGCACGUCUUGACGGUACCUAAUCAGAAAGCCACGGCUAACUACGUG
rnacentral:rRNA from 1 species